rnacentral:rRNA from 1 species
GAUGAACGCUGGCGGCGUGCCUAAUACAUGCAAGUCGAGCGAACGGACGAGAAGCUUGCUUCUCUGAUGUUAGCGGCGGACGGGUGAGUAACACGUGGAUAACCUACCUAUAAGACUGGGAUAACUUCGGGAAACCGGAGCUAAUACCGGAUGAUAUUUUGAACCGCAUGGUUCAAAAGUGAAAGACGGUCUUGCUGUCACUUAUAGAUGGAUCCGCGCUGCAUUAGCUAGUUGGUAAGGUAACGGCUUACCAAGGCAGCGAUGCAUAGCCGACCUGAGAGGGUGAUCGGCCACACUGGAACUGAGACACGGUCCAGACUCCUACGGGAGGCAGCAGGAGGGAAUCUUCCGCAAUGGGCGAAAGCCUGACGGAGCAACGCCGCGUGAGUGAUGAAGGUCUUCGGAUCGUAAAACUCUGUUAUUAGGGAAGAACAUAUGUGUAAGUAACUGUGCACAUCUUGACGGUACCGAAUCAGAAAGCCACGGCUAACUACGU